AACGAACGCUGGCGGCAGGCUUAACACAUGCAAGUCGAACGCAUCCUUCGGGGUGAGUGGCAGACGGGUGAGUAACGCGUGGGAACGUGCCCUUCAGUUCGGGAUAACCCAGGGAAACUUGGGCUAAUACCGGAUACGUGCGAGAGCAGAAAGAUUUAUCGCUGAAGGAUCGGCCCGCGUCUGAUUAGCUAGUUGGUGGGGUAAUGGCCCACCAAGGCGACGAUCAGUAGCUGGUCUGAGAGGAUGAUCAGCCACAUUGGGACUGAGACACGGCCCAAACUCCUACGGGAGGCAGCAGUGGGGAAUAUUGCACAAGGGGCGCAAGCCUGAUGCAGCGACGCCGCGUGAGGGAUGACGGCCUUCGGGUUGUAAACCUCUUUCAGCACCGACGAAGCGCAAGUGACGGUAGGUGCAGAAGAAGGACCGGCCAACUACGUGCCAGCCGCCGCAGUAA
rnacentral:rRNA from 1 species